rnacentral:rRNA from 1 species
AUUGAACGCUGGCGGCAGGCCUAACACAUGCAAGUCGAACGGUAACAGGAAACAGCUUGCUGUUUCGCUGACGAGUGGCGGACGGGUGAGUAAUGUCUGGGAAACUGCCUGAUGGAGGGGGAUAACUACUGGAAACGGUAGCUAAUACCGCAUAACGUCGCAAGACCAAAGAGGGGGACGUUCGGGCCUCUUGCCAUCGGAUGUGCCCAGAUGGGAUUAGCUUGUUGGUGGGGUAACGGCUCACCAAGGCGACGCUCCCUAGCUGGUCUGAGAGGAUGACCAGCCACACUGGAACUGAGACACGGUCCAGACUCCUACGGGAGGAAGCAGUGGGGAAUAUUGCACAAUGGGCGCAAGCCUGAUGCAGCCAUGCCGCGUGUAUGAAGAAGGCCUUCGGGUUGUAAAGUACUUUCAGCGGGGAGGAAGGGAGUAAAGUUAAUACCUUUGCUCAUUGACGUUACCCGCAGAAGAAGCACCGGCUAACUCCGUGCCAGCCGCCGCAGUAA